rnacentral:rRNA from 1 species
GAUGAACGCUGGCGGCGUGCCUAAUACAUGCAAGUCGAGCGAACAGACGAGGAGCUUGCUCCUUUGACGUUAGCGGCGGACGGGUGAGUAACACGUAGGUAACCUACCUAUAAGACUGGGAUAACUUCGGGAAACCGGAGCUAAUACCGGAUAAUAUUUCGAACCGCAUGGUUCGAUAGUGAAAGAUGGCUUUGCUAUCACUUAUAGAUGGACCUGCGCCGUAUUAGCUAGUUGGUAAGGUAACGGCUUACCAAGGCAACGAUACGUAGCCGACCUGAGAGGGUGAUCAGCCACACUGGAACUGAGACACGGUCCAGACUCCUACGGGAGGCAGCAGUAGGGAAUCUUCCGCAAUGGGCGAAAGCCUGACGGAGCAACGCCGCGUGAGUGAUGAAGGUCUUCGGAUCGUAAAACUCUGUUAUUAGGGAAGAACAAACGUGUAAGUAACUGUGCACGUCUUGACGGUACCUAAUCAGAAAGCCACGGCUAACUACGU